CCUACGGGAGGCAGCAGUGGGGAAUAUUGGGCAAUGGAGGAAACUCUGACCCAGCAACGCCGCGUGAAUGAUGAAGGUCUUCGGAUUGUAAAGUUCUUUUCUAAGGGAAGAAGAAAGUGACGGUACCUUAGGAAUAAGCCUCGGCUAACUACGUGCCAGCAGCCGCGGUAAUACGUAGGAGGCAAGCGUUAUCCGGAAUGACUGGGCGUAAAGGGGGCGUAGGUGGUUUGACAAGUUGGUAGCGUAACUCCGGGGCUCAACCUCGGCACUACUACCAAAACUGUCGGACUUGAGUGCAGGAGGGGCGAAUGGAAUUCCUAGUGUAGCGGUGGAAUGCGUAGAUAUUAGGAGGAACACCAGUGGCGAAGGCGAUUUGCUGGACUGUAACUGACACUGAGGCACGAAAGCGUGGGGAGCAAACAGGAUUAGAUACCCCGGUAGUC
rnacentral:rRNA from 1 species